rnacentral:misc_RNA from 1 species
GAUGAAGAACGUAGCGAAAUGCGAUAAGUAAUGUGAAUUGCAGAAUUCAGUGAAUCAUCGAAUCUUUGAACGCACAUUGCGCCCCCUGGUAUUCCGGGGGGCAUGCCUGUUCGAGCGUCAUUUCACCACUCAAGCCUCGCUUGGUAUUGGGCAACGCGGUCCGCCGCGUGCCUCAAAUCGACCGGCUGGGUCUUCUGUCCCCUAAGCGUUGUGGAAACUAUUCGCUAAAGGGUGUUCGGGAGGCUACGCCGUAAAACAACCCCAUUUCUAAGGUUGACCUCGGAUCAGGUAGGGAUACCCGCUGAACUUAAGCAUAUCAAUAAACGGAGGA